AGGGCGCAGGGCGAAUGCCUUGGCACUGGGAGCCGAUGAAAGACGUGAUAAGCUGCGAUAAGCUUCGGGGAGCUGCAAAUAAGCAUUGAUCCGGAGAUUUCUGAAUGAGGAAACUCACUCAGGUUCAUACCUGAGUACGUUGUACUGAAAUUCAAAAUAGGUACAUCGGGGGAACCGCCUGAACUGAAACAUCUAAGUAGGGCGAGGAAGAGACAUCAAACGAGAUUCCGUAAGUAGUGGCGAGCGAACGCGGAAGAGGGCAAACCGAAGGUAGAAAUACCUUCGGGGUACGGACUGCUUUUAGGACUCGAUCUGUUAACCGAACGGCAUGGGAAGGCCGGUCAGAGAGUGUGAGAACCACGUAGGUGAAAACGGAGAGAGCUGCGCAGAUUCCAGAGUACGGCCAGACACGUGAAACCUGGUCGGAAGAUGGGGGGACCACCCUCCAACCCUAAAUACUACCCAGUGACCGAUAGCGUAUAGUACUGUGAAGGAAAGGUGAAAAGCACCCCGGGAGGGGAGUGAAAAAGAACCUGAAACCCUGUGCCUACAAGCACCUAGAGCACGUCAAUGUGUGAUAGGGUACUUUUUGUAGAACGGUCCGGCGAGCGAUUGUAUGCAGCAAGGUUAAGGACUUAAGGUCUGGAGCCGAAGCGAAAGCGAGUUUGAAAAGGGCGUUAAGUUGCAUAUAAUGGGCCCGAAACCGGGUGACCUACCCAUGGUCAGGUUGAAGUGGAAGUAAAAUUCCAUGGAGGACCGAACCGACCUCCGUUGAAAAGGCGGCGGAUGAACUGUGGGUAGCGGAGAAAUUCCAAUCGAACCCGGAGAUAGCUGGUUCUCCCCGAAAUAGUUUUAGGACUAGCCUCAAGUUAGAUACCUGGAGGUAAAGCACUGAAUAGCCUAGCGGCCGAGAGGUUAGCGAAGCUUAUCAAACUCAGAAUGCCAGAGUAUUGAUGCUUGGGAGUCAGACAGUGUCAGAUAAAUGUCAUUGUCAAAAGGGAAACAGCCCAGAUCUACAGCUAAGGUCCCAAAGUCAGGUUAAGUGGAAAACGAUGUGAAGAUACGCAGACAACCAGGAUGUUGGCUCAGAAGCAGCCACUCAUUCAAAGAGUGCGUAAUAGCUCACUGGUCGAGCGUCUUUGCGCGGAGAAUUUAACGGGGCUAAACCUGACACCGAAGCUUAGGCAAUCCAGCAAUGGAUUGGGUAGGGGAGCGUUGUAUACGCGGAGAAACAGUAGCGUAAGCGGCUGUGGAGUGUAUAGAAGUGAGAAUGCCGGAAUGAGUAGCGCGAAUGCAGUGAGAAUCUGCAUGGCCGAAAGCCUCAGGUUUUUGGAGGAAGGUUCGUCCGCUCCAAGUUAGUCGGGAGCUAAGGUGAGGCCGGAAGGCGUAGCCGAUGCACAGACGGUAGAGAUUCCGUCACCACCAAAAGAGUUAAGCACAGGGACACAUUUGAAGUCUCAGAGCCGGGUGUUGGUUCCGGUAGAGAUCGAGGGAAGUUAGUACCGAAGUCUGGGAUGGAGGAUGGCGAGAAAAGCUGUGUGUAUUUCUGAGGUGCCCGUACCGCAAACCGACACAGGUAGGUAGGAAGAAGAUUCUAAGGCCAACGGGAGAAGGGUUGUUAAGGAACUCGGCAAAUUGACCCCGUAACUUCGGGAGAAGGGGUGCUCCAGAGAUGGAGCCGCAGAGAAUCGGCCCAAGCAACUGUUUACCAAAAACACAGGUUUGUGCUAAAUCGAAAGAUGACGUAUACGAGCUGACGCCUGCCCGGUGCUGGAAGGUUAAGAGGAGAUGUGCAAGCAUUGAAUCGAAGCCCCAGUGAACGGCGGCCGUAACUAUAACGGUCCUAAGGUAGCGAAAUUCCUUGUCAGGUAAGUUCUGACCCGCAUGAAAGGCGUAAUGAUUUGGGCACUGUCUCAACAGCCCGCCCGGCGAAAUUGUAGUACCGGUGAAGAUGCCGGUUACCCGCGACAAGACGGAAAGACCCCAUGGAGCUUUACUGUAGCCUAAUAUUGGGUUUCGAUGUUGCAUGCACAGGAUAGAUGGGACACUAGGAAACAAUCGCUUUGGCGGUUGCGGAGUGGCCGUUGGGAUACCAUCCUUGCGAUAUUGGAAUUCUAACCUGCGGCUCUGAAUCGAGUCGGGGGACAUUGUUAGGUGGGCAGUUUGACUGGGGCGGUCGCCUCCUAAAAAGUAACGGAGGCG
rnacentral:rRNA from 1 species